GUUCCAGUUUGGUGUCUAUUUUUAUACCAUUUGCAAAUGUCUGUUAGGUCCGUUUCAUAUAGUCCAAUUAAAGUCCAUAGUUUCUUUGUUGAUUUUCUGCCUUGAUUAUCUGUCUAGUGAUGUUACUGGAGUUUUGCCAUCACCCACUAUUGUAUUGCUGUCUAUCUCUUUUCUUAGGUCUAGCGGUGUCUCUUUUAUGAUUCUAGGUGUUCUGGUGUUGAGCACAAUAUAUAUUUAGGAUUGUUAGCUUGUUUGUUGAAUUGAUCCCUUUAUCAUUAUACAAUGACUUUCUUUGUCUUUUCUUAUGUCGUUGAUUUAAAGUCUGUUUUCUCUGAGAUUGGUAGAGUUAUUCCUCC
rnacentral:lncRNA from 1 species